rnacentral:rRNA from 1 species
UACGGGGGGAGCAAGCGUUGUUCGGAUUUACUGGGCGUAAAGGGCGCGUAGGCGGCGCAACAAGUCACUUGUGAAAUCUCCAGGCUUAACCCGGAGCGGCCAAGUGAUACUGUCGUGCUAGAGUGCGGAAGGGGCUACUGGAAUUCCCGGUGUAGCAGUGAAAUGCGUAGAGAUCGGGAGGAACAUCCGUGGCGAAGGCGGCCAUCUGGACCAGCACUGACACUGAGGCACGAAAGCGUGGGGAGCAAACAGG